UGCGCAGGCGGGUUAUUAAGUCAGUGGUGAAAUCUCUCGGCUCAACCGAGAAACUGCCAUUGAAACUGAUAAUCUUGAGUAUAGUUGUAGUAGGCGGAAUAUAGCAUGUAGCGGUGAAAUGCUUAGAUAUGCUAUAGAACACCGAUCGCGAAGGCAGCUUACUAAACUAUUACUGACGCUCAUGCACGAAAGCGUGGGGAGCGAACAGGAUUAGAUACCCUGGUAGUC
rnacentral:rRNA from 1 species